rnacentral:rRNA from 1 species
AGCUCCAAUAGCGUAUAUUAAAGUUGUUGCAGUUAAAAAGCUCGUAGUUGGAUCUCGGGUCUAGGCUUGCGGUUCGCCUCGCGGCGGUUACUGCUCGUCCUGGCCUACCUCCCGGUUUUCCCUUGGUGCUCUUAAGUGAGUGUCUCGGGUGGCCGGAACGUUUACUUUGAAAAAAUUAGAGUGUUCAAAGCAGGCAUUCUGCCUGAAUAAUGGUGCAUGGAAUAAUGGAAUAGGACCUCGGUUCUAUUUUGUUGGUUUUCGGAACUUGAGGUAAUGAUUAAGAGGGACAGACGGGGGCAUUCGUAUUACGGUGUUAGAGGUGAAAUUCUUGGAUCGCCGUAAGACGAACAACUGCGAAAGCAUUUGCCAAGAAUGUUUUCAUCA